UCCCAUUGAGUCUUUUUCUUGAGGCCUUUUAUGUUGUUGAGUAAAUAGUUCUCCGUGUUCUCUUGAAUCUUUCUUUAGCACUUGUCGGUUUGUGCUUAAGAACAGGCGCCAGUAAUAGCUUUUUGUACCAAGUGGGUCUUAACUUAUUUCCCACUCCUGGACAUGGGCUUAAACUUUUAAAGCUUUUUUUAUUUAUCGUUCGUUAUACUUUUUUUCCCUUCACUUUCCCCUCAUUGGAUAGAUUUAGGGUUUGGAUUAGGGUUACCUUUGUUAAAGAAAAAUAAAGGUAGGAGAGAAAAAGUCCUAAUUAGCCAAAUAGCUCUCUACUCUGGUCUUUCCCAUUUGUUUUGUCAUCUCUUUUGCAUGGGGAUAGUGAGAUGAUGAUGAUGAUGGUUGCGAAGAUCUAAAAGAAAUUAACGAAACCAGUCACUGUUUGCCUAUGGAGCAUCAUCAAGAUUCACAAGCUUUAUUAGGGCUAGUGUGUGGUGAUGAUGGUGGCUUUUGGUGGUCCCUUUUUUUCAAUCCAAUAGCCCUUUGAAUUGGGAAUCUUGAUGAUGCUGCAGCGGCAAUAAAUGGCUUAUUUAUCUCCUUUUCUCCAACUUUACCGGCUCCCAAAGAUGAAGGUGAUUUUUUGGUGCUGCCACCACCACCACUUGAUCUGAUCUUAUUAAGGAUGUCUGUACUUCGGUAUGAACCUGUACAUCGUUAGACAUCGUGGGCCUCUUUUAUUUCUUGGAUACAUGGAGGUUCUUUUGUUCUCUCUCUAUAUAUAUAUGUUUCUUCUCUUAUCGUCCUUUCUUUAGAUCUUGAUCAUCAUUCCCAGCUGUGUAUAAUAUGUGCAAGUACUGUUCAGAUUACUGACAAAGCUUUUAAUUUUUCCCAGGGAUAUGAUGUGCUUGAAUACACCAAGUCACACAUACAAUCAUUUUGUUGCUCUUUUGUACAUGUAGAUUUGUAGAGUUUUGAUUGUUUCGUUACCUCUUCAUGGAAAUCUUUAGCUUGAUGACGGGAAUUUUAGUAUUUUGCCUUCCAGUUUCUUAUCACCAAUAUUGUAGUUGUACAUUUGAGCAUUAAAAGAAGGAAUUACCAUGUGUUCUUCUAACCAUAUUCUUGGAAACUAUGUUUUGUUUUUUCAGGUUCAGGGAAGAUCUUCUGAUUUCUCAAAAUUUCGGGAUAAUAGCUUGUGCCUAGCUUGAUAGGCUACAUGGUAUAUAAUAGUACACCCAUACGAGUUUUUACAAGGUGUGCAGUGAAGUGCUUUGGCUGCGGAAUGUUUGAGUGAUAGUCAAUAUCUCAAGAUCACUCUUUUAAACUCAUGAUCAUCUAGUUGAACGCCCAGUGCCACUUGAAUUGGCGCAUUGACUUUAUUUAUAACAAGGGUUUGGAUUGAGCCUGCUGUGCUAUCUGAAAGAAUAAACAACAAAAUUAGUAAACCCUAAUAUUUAGCUGAUUUUUUGUAAUUUGCAUGAGAUUCAAGUCAAAUGAUGUUAUUUGCAAUGUUUACCUUCAUAAGAUGAAUUUCUUGUUCUUCUUGCAUUUGCAUUACAGCAAUUGACUUGAAGCCGGUGAGUUGGAUAGCAUCCGCUCAUCAUAGCAGACAACAUCAUGUUAAUUCAAUAUAUAUGGAUAGAUUCUAAUAAAUAUUCAGUUACUAUCA